AACAUACCACCCCUGGAAGUUCACCCCAAAACAGCUCAGCUGGGUUUUCCUCUCAACUUUGAGAUAUGUCAUCAAGAAGGGGUUUUCCUAGAGUUUAAGCUAGUAAGGCCCACUCUAGAGACUACUGUAGCAUCUCUGUAGCAGUUGAGUAGAUAUGUUCUAGAUACAGCCAGCACAUUUUCAGGACUGAAUUUCCAUUAUAAAAGUUCACAUUGAUUUAUUUAUUACAUCCAUUAAGCACUUUAUUUCAAUUAUGUUGUAUAUUUCUGCUUAGAACAUAAUAGUACUAAAUUCAUAUUCAGCUUCAUUUUCAUUGUCAUUGAUGUUGUUACAGUUAUUGACCAAAAUUCCAUUUUCUGUCUAUACUGCCUUCAAUCCAAUUGCUCAGUUUCUUGUUUAUUGUGUUUACAGCUAAUGUAAUACUUUAAGGUAUAUUUUAUGCCUAAUGUCUCUCUCUCUCUCUCUCCCUCUGUCUCUCUCUUUCUCUCUUAGGAGACAUUGUGUUUGUGUCAGUGUGGGUUUUGGAGAUUAUUAUUCUGCUGUCAUUGUUAGGAGGCUUUCACAUCUACGCCAGAAUCCAAAGAAAACAGAGCAAGAGAGCAGCAGAAAGAAGAGGAGAACCUGGAACAAGAAGACAGAGAGCAUCAUUACAGGAGAUAAACCAUCUCACACAACUGGAACAAUCAGCAAAAUACAACCGUCAGUAGAGAAAAAAAGAAAACAGGCUGAGGUCAUUCUGAUAAUUAAGGACACUGGUGGACUGAAUUGACAAUAAAAAUUUGCCCAUCCAACUAACAAAUCAUUUAGCCUUGUGAAUUGAAUGUAACUGUAGACAAAGCACUUUUAGUGAUUGUCUUUGAUUGAAAGGUCUACAUGAAACUUGCUUUAAUUAGCAGAGUCCAGUCAUCACUGAAAGUAAGUAUGGCCUUCAAUAGUUUAAAAAACACAUCUCUUUACAUGGAUCCUUCACAAAGAACAUAUGAGGUCAGAAUUCCAUUGACAGUCCAUAGAAAGAUUCUUCACUCCAUGCAUAAUGCGACAGGUAUGGAAACUGGUAUCUCUCUUGGCACUGCUUUGCUUGCCUUUACCCCUUCUGGCUGGCAUUUGCUCCAAGGAACUCGGGAUGUGUGGCUGUGAAAGCUGGCCCAUGGUACAUGCAGAUGCUCCUAAAAAUGACUUUUUGUUAAUGUCAUUGUUUGUUCAUUUAAAAGUAUGUAUAUCUAUUUACUGUGUUAUUCUGUGUCCAGGGGUUUGAGUGUUUCAUGUUGAGGUUUGACGACCAUGAGUUCAAUGCUUUGUAUGUGCCUUUCUGCCCUGGGGAUUAAUAAAGAGCACUUCUUGUGGUGAAAUCAUCCACUGUGUCUUGAUCU
ensembl:lncRNA